CUACGGGAUGCACCAGUGGGGAAUAUUGCACAAUGGGCGCAAGCCUGAUGCAGCCAUGCCGCGUGUAUGAAGAAGGCCUUCGGGUUGUAAAGUACUUUCAGCGGGGAGGAAGGGAGUAAAGUUAAUACCUUUGCUCAUUGACGUUACCCGCAGAAGAAGCACCGGCUAACUCCGUGCCAGACAGCCGCGGUAAUACGGAGGGUGCAAGCGUUAAUCGGAAUUACUGGGCGUAAAGCGCACGCAGGCGGUUUGUUAAGUCAGAUGUGAAAUCCCCGGGCUCAACCUGGGAACUGCAUCUGAUACUGGAAAGCUUGAGUCUCGUAGAGGGGGGUAGAAUUCCAGGUGUAGCGGUGAAAUGCGUAGAGAUCUGGAGGAAUACCGGUGGCGAAGGCGGCCCCCUGGACGAAGACUGACGCUCAGGUGCGAAAGUGUGGGGAGCAAACAGGAUUAGAUACCCUCGUAGUC
rnacentral:rRNA from 1 species